GAUUAAGAACGUAGCGAAAUGCGAUAAGUAGUGUGAAUUGCAGAAUUCAGUGAAUCAUCGAAUCUUUGAACGCACAUUGCGCCUUCUAGUAUUCUGGGAGGCAUGCCUGUUUGAGCGUCAUUAAACCUCUCUCAAGUAUGAUUACUUGGAUGUGAAGGAAGAGUACCUUAAACUUAAGGAGUGUUCUCCUUUGAAAUUGAUUAGCAGAUGGUAAUGUUAUUAAAUCCCUGAUGUUGUAAGAAAUAACAGUGGUUUUGUAGACUAUUAUCUAGCUUUAAAUUAUAAUUUUUAUUAUGGUUGACCUCAAAUCAGGUAAGGAUACCCGCUGAACUUAAGCAUAUCAAUAAGCGGAGGA
rnacentral:misc_RNA from 1 species